GACGAACGCUGGCGGCGUGCCUAAUACAUGCAAGUAGAACGCUGAAGAGAGGAGCUUGCUCUUCUUGGAUGAGUUGCGAACGGGUGAGUAACGCGUAGGUAACCUGCCUUGUAGCGGGGGAUAACUAUUGGAAACGAUAGCUAAUACCGCAUAACAAUAGGUGACACAUGUCAUUUAUUUGAAAGGGGCAAUUGCUCCACUACAAGAUGGACCUGCGUUGUAUUAGCUAGUAGGUGAGGUAACGGCUCACCUAGGCGACGAUACAUAGCCGACCUGAGAGGGGGAUGGCCACACCUGGACGGGAGCACCGGCCAAGACUCCUAGGGAGGGAGCAGGAGGGGAACCUUCGGAAUGGGGGCAACCCUGACCGAGCAACGCCGCGUGAGUGAAGAAGGUUUUCGGAUCGUAAAGCUCUGUUGUAAGUCAAGAACGAGUGUGAGAGUGGAAAGUUCACACUGUGACGGUAGCUUACCAGAAAGGGACGGCUAACUACGUG
rnacentral:rRNA from 1 species